rnacentral:rRNA from 1 species
GACGAACGCUGGCGGCGUGCUUAACACAUGCAAGUCGAACGGUGAAGUGCCUUCCUUUUUGGUGGGUGUGGAUGAGUGGCGAACGGGUGAGUAACACGUGAGUAACCUGCCCCCUUCUUCUGGAUAACCGCAUGAAAGUGUGGCUAAUACGGGAUAUUCUGGGUCUGUCGCAUGAUGGGUCUGGGAAAGAUAUUGUUUCGGUGGGGGAUGGGCUCGCGGCCUAUCAGCUUGUUGGUGGGGUGAUGGCCUACCAAGGCGGUGACGGGUAGCCGGCCUGAGAGGGUGGACGGUCACACUGGGACUGAUACACGGCCCAGACUCCUACGGGAGGCAGCAGUGGGGAAUAGUGCACAAUGGGCGCAAGCCUGAUGCAGCGACGCCGCGUGAGGGAUGGAGGCCUUCGGGUUGUGAACCUCUUUCGCCAGUGAAGCAGGCCUGCCUCGUUUGUGGGUGGGUUGACGGUAGCUGGAUAAGAAGCGCCGGCUAACUACGUG